rnacentral:tRNA from 1 species
GGCACGAUGGCAGAGUGGUUAUUGCGUAAGACUAGAAUGGUAUCCCUUCCUUGUGAAGAGAAGCACAUCGUCUAGAUCAUCUUAUUCCUUCGGGAGCGUAGGUUCAAGUCCUACUCGUGUCG